GCUGGACUGCGUCUCCCAUCCGUGAACAGGGACUGUGACUUCAUCUCAUUCCUCUCAAAGGUGUUUUAGAAUUUUGAGCCCAGCGUGAUCAGAACACUUUGGGUUUAUGCCUAGGUAUUUGGUAUUUUGAGCACAACAUUCUAGACAGCUUCUGCGUGCUGGGACACAGAAACGCCAUCGCUCGCCACACGCUGGUCUUGUGUCCCGGCAUCUUGCGAGGCUCACAUUCGCUGUCAUCCGCUCCCUGAUGUUAUUCUGGAUUUUCCCUGUGCGGGAUCGCGCUGCCCAUGACUGUGACAGUCUGUUUUCCCUUUUACUUCUCUUUCUUGCCUUAUCCUUGGCUGGGAUGGACGGUGCGUCCGAACAGAAACGCUGAGAAAGACCCCCGUCCCGUUUCUGACCUCCCCCUUCUUCCUCCCUGAUUGCCCCGCGCGCGCCCCAACCUCCUGGACCCACGGGCUCGUGGCAGCGAUGCGGACGGGACAGCCGGGAUGCUCUCAUGAACGUGAAAGAUCGGGCACUCUCUGAAACGAGGCCGCUCUGCGGAGUCCAUGCUGCUGAAAUGCUGUGGGCAGCCCGUAGUGUCCACUUCCCAGGAUUAGCGCGCUCCCGGGGACACGGCGAGGAAACACCAGACACAGAGGCAGCCUGGCCCCCGGGUCCCGAAGAAGAAGGUGGCAGCGAGGUGCGGAGGGCAGGGCUGGGCGGAACCGCACCUGAGCCACCUCGCCCUGCGAGCUGGAGACGGCCUUCAGUGCCACCGGCCUGGCUCCAAGCCCGUGCCGCCCGCGCCCAAGGCGAGACCCCGGGCUGCUCUGUCUACGCUUCUCUCAGGCCACCCUGAAGACGUGCUGAGAACGAAUCCUGUGUCUCAGGGCCUACCCUGGGCCUGGGGAGCAGUCAGCAGAUUUUCCAGCAGGAACAAUGACGGUAUUCCUUCCCUCUCGCCCGUCCCCCUCCCCGUCAUCUAAUCCGGGGUGAGCUCAAAUCUAAGAGGGAACAUGCCAGAAUGUAUGCACAGGAAGGGGCUCCUCCCUACAAAGCGAAUGAGCUCCAGUCUGAGUCUUGGCCGGAUCCUGGCUUGCACUCUGCCGCCGGGUCUGCCGUGGCCCCACACGCGCUGUGACGAGCAGGAGGUUCUGGGGGCGAGCGGGCACUGGCUCCUGGGUGCCCGCUGGCCAUUCCGCCAGGCAGCCUGGAGUCGGAGCGGCCGUGACACGCUGCGUUCCGAACGAGGGCCGCAGCCCAAGAGGGAGGCAUCUGGGUCCUUCCUGCCCUUCCAAAUCUGGAAGCGCGUGCGGCUCGAGGAGAAACUGGGGCCGUGGGGGUAAAGGCGGCUUAUCCCCAGGUUGGGGGGCACCGAGUCGUACGAGUGCCCAGGGUCUCACGUUGAACAGGAGAAGCCCUGGGUUCACGUAGAAACCUACUUAACGCAAAAAGUCGCAUCCCUGCCGCAGGGACACGUGUGCUCCUGAGCGUGUCGGUACGAAGCCCGACGCAAGAAAAAAGCUUUCAAGACACAGGCGAGGCUUCGUAGGGAGGGCCGAAGCUUGGGAGGCUCUCCUGCCUGGUGACGGACGGCUGGUCUCUGGCCUGCGUGAGGAUGGAAGGCCAGGCCGCGAGCAGCACGGCUUCUGGCCUACGGCACGCAGCAGGUGCCUGCACGGAAGCGCCACCGGAGGGGCUCGCCCCCCUGAACCCCGCCCCCAUCUUCCGGGGGGCGCGGUAGGAACACGUGAGCGUCAGUGUCGGGUCACUGGGGCCUGGGCUCAGUGCCAACGUCAGCGGGAGGCCAGCAAGUCCCCGCCCCUAACCUGAGAGAGUUGCACGAUUAGUGACCUGGAAGUCGGACCCCCCCCCGUUCAAUGAAAUUCUAAAAGGGGGCUCGCUAUGCUGAAAUGUCCCCGCUCAGAGACACGGAAGUGAUUCAUCAGGUGGGCAAAAUACUCAAAUCCCCCCAGGCCCCCCAUGACCCGAACCCACUCCCCAAAAGGACUUGGCCUCCCCUCCGCCUUCCUGCCCUCUGGGCACCGCCCGCCCUGGCACAGCCCGCCCCCGGUGGUGCCCGAGCCCGGGGAGGCCAGCACCCCCUGGACGGCCCACCCCUCGGAUGGCGAGCCAGCGGGCACUCCCUGGCGAGUUCCGCCUCCAGCAGCAGGUGCCGCAGUGUUUCUUUUCCUCCCCGCGCAAGUUACCGAAAACGACCCCAGUUCUGCAAUAAAGCUUGUAUCCGCCCGUUAA